UCCUCCAUGGCGCAAUUGGCUAGCGCGUCUGACUGUUAAACAAUCACCGCAUGGUGUGUUCGACAUCAGGAGGUUCGUGGUUCGAGCCCACGUGGGGGAG